CGUAGGGUGCAAGCGUUGUCCGGAAUUAUUGGGCGUAAAGGGCUCGUAGGCGGUUUGUCGCGUCGGGAGUGAAAACUCAGGGCUUAACCCUGAGCCUGCUUCCGAUACGGGCAGACUAGAGGUAUGCAGGGGAGAAUGGAAUUCCUGGUGUAGCGGUGAAAUGCGCAGAUAUCAGGAGGAACACCGGUGGCGAAGGCGGUUCUCUGGGCAUUACCUGACGCUGAGGAGCGAAAGUGUGGGGAGCGAACAGGAUUAGAUACCCUGGUAGUCCACACCGUAAACGUUGGGCGCUAGGUGUGGGACUCAUUCCACGAGUUCCGUGCCGCAGCUAACGCAUUAAGCGCCCCGCCUGGGGAGUACGGCCGCAAGGCUA
rnacentral:rRNA from 1 species